GGUCCGGUGAUCUCGUGCGAGCUGGGCGAAAGCCGAACCGUACGCCUCACACGCGGAAGGUCGCUGGUUCGAUACCAGCCGGGACCACCA
rnacentral:tRNA from 1 species